rnacentral:lncRNA from 12 species
CAGUUUCCAAAUUCCCAUUGACUUCUCCUAUCCUAAUUUAUAUUCACAUUUGUCUUUUCCACAAGUAAUCCACUUAAUGGCCAAGCACUUAUGGUGUUGGAGGCAGAUGAACUGCAGACCUAUAUAUUAGUUGGAACUCAGGCCAGCCGGCUUUACUUUAAGAGGAAAGAAAUCAACUUAGAACCUUCUAGAUGGAAACUUUGCCCUUUUGCUGCUGCCUUUCCUCUUAGAAAACAAGUUAAAAGUUGGCAGAUGUUCAGUGUUCAUGUAGAGCCAGCGCGGCCUCCUUGUCCUUCAAGUCUCAAACUGACCUUUACAGUUCCAUGUUCUCCUGCAUGACUGCCUCAUAAAAGGACCUAGAACAAGAAUUUGUCAAGAAAUUUAGUCACUCCAUGUUUCCGUGAUGUGAUUCCUCUGGAAGAGACCAAACUUCUACCAAAGGAGAAUAUAUUUAGAAUACAGACAACAGCAUACUUUCCUAUCAGUAUGGAGACCACCGAGACGCUCCUACAUUAUUCAAUCUAGCGGCAGUGGCUUCCAAGGGGAAAAUAAAUACCUUGACUGAGGCUUCACUGGUCUGCAUCGCAUGCACAAGCAUGAAGGAUUUCUUUGCUGUCAAGCUUUCAGUUGGGAACAAAAUCCCCCUGCUGAGCCCUGUUGCUCACUGCAACACUUAAGAUAUGAUUCGGCACAUGGAGUCUUAGGCAUCUCUGAGCUGGUACCUCUUCUUCCAUGUCCCUAAAGCGCAGGCAGGCACAAGAAAUGGGAUUCCUGACUAUCAGUUGGUAACAGAUGUGGCAGGUCCAGAGAGCUGACCACCUGUCAGCACAUCCAAAGAUAA